rnacentral:rRNA from 1 species
AGCUGAUCACUGAGCGUAAAGCGUGCGCAGGCGGUUUUGUAAGACAGAGGUGAAAUCCCCGGGCUCAACCUGGGAACUGCCUUUGUGACUGCAAGGCUGGAGUGCGGCAGAGGGGGAUGGAAUUCCGCGUGUAGCAGUGAAAUGCGUAGAUAUGCGGAGGAACACCGAUGGCGAAGGCAAUCCCCUGGGCCUGCACUGACGCUCAUGCACGAAAGCGUGGGGAGCAAACA